rnacentral:tRNA from 1 species
GGCGGCGUAGCUCAGCUGGCUAGAGCGUUCGGUUCAUACCCGAAAGGUCGGGGGUUCGAGUCCCUCCACCGCUACCA